rnacentral:rRNA from 1 species
UAUAGUUAAUCUGCCUCUUAGAGAGGGAUAGCCACUGGAAACGGUGAUUAAUACCUCAUACUCCUAGUUCCGUAAGGGAAUUAGGGAAAGUUUUUCGCUAAGAGAUGAGACUAUAUUGUAUCAGGUAGUUGGUAGGGUAAUGGCCUACCAAGCCUAUGACACAUAGCUGGUCUGAGAGGAUGAUCAGCCACACUGGUACUGAGACACGGACCAGACUCCUACGGGAGGCAGCAGUGGGGAAUAUUGCACAAUGGAGGAAACUCUGAUGCAGCAACGCCGCGUGGAGGAUGACGCAUUUCGGUGUGUAAACUCCUUUUAUAUGGGAAGAUAAUGACGGUACCAUAUGAAUAAGCACCGGCUAACUCCGUGCCAGCAGCCGCGGUAAUACGGAGGGUGCAAGCGUUACUCGGAAUCACUGGGCGUAAAGCGCGCGCAGGCGGCUUUGAAAGUCAGAUGUGAAAGCCUAUGGCUCAACCAUAGAACUGCAUUUGAAACUUUAAAGCUAGAGUCUGGGAGAGGAAGAUGGAAUUAGUUGUGUAGGGGUAAAAUCCGUAGAGAUAACUAGGAAUACCAAAAGCGAAGGCGAUCUUCUGGAACAGUACUGACGCUGAGGCGCGAAAGCGUGGGGAGCAAACAGGAUUAGAUACCCUGGUAGUCCACGCCCUAAACGAUGAAUGUUAGUCGUUGGGAGGCUAGUCCUUUCAGUGAUGCAGCUNACGCAUUAAACAUUCCGCCUGGGGAGUACGGUCGCAAGAUUAAAACUCAAAGGAAUAGACGGGGACCC